CAAGGGUUGGGUUUUGCAUAUCAAAAAGCGGAGGAAAAGAAACCAACAGGGAUUGCCUCAGUAACGGCGAGUGAAGCGGCAAAAGCUCAAAUUUGAAAUCCCCCCGGGGAGUUGUAAUUUGAAGAUUGCGUCUUGGAGGCGACCGUGUCUAUGUUCCUUGGAACAGGACGUCACAGAGGGUGAGAAUCCCGUGCGGCACGGCCCCCGGCUCCUUAUAAGGCGCUCUCGACGAGUCGAGUUGUUUGGGAAUGCAGCUCAAAGUGGGUGGUAAAUUCCAUCUAAAGCUAAAUACAGGCGAGAGACCGAUAGCGAACAAGUACAGUGAUGGAAAGAUGAAAAGCACUUUGAAAAGAGAGUGAAACAGCACGUGAAAUUGUUGAAAGGGAAGGGCAUGCCGUCAGAUUGUCAGUGUGGGUAAGAAGCGGGGUACAAAGACUGUGGAACGUGGCCCUCGGGUGUUAUAGCCGCAGUUCAUGCCCCGUCUCUUUCCGAGGCCUGCUUUGAGGACACCGACGUAAUGACGGUACGCCGCCCGUCUUGAACCACGGACCAAAAUUUUCUUUGCC
rnacentral:rRNA from 1 species